ensembl:snRNA U6 U6 spliceosomal RNA
GUCCUAGCCUUGGUAGCACAUAUACUAAAAUUGGCAUGAUACAGAAAAGAUUAGCAUGGCCCCUGCUCAAGGAUUACACAGAGAGUCAUGAGGCAUACCAUAUUUUU